UUGAACGCUGGCGGCAGGCCUAACACAUGCAAGUCGAGCGGUAGCACAGAGAGCUUGCUCUCGGGUGACGAGCGGCGGACGGGUGAGUAAUGUCUGGGAAACUGCCUGAUGGAGGGGGAUAACUACUGGAAACGGUAGCUAAUACCGCAUAACGUCGCAAGACCAAAGUGGGGGACCUUCGGGCCUCAUGCCAUCAGAUGUGCCCAGAUGGGAUUAGCUAGUAGGUGGGGUAAUGGCUCACCUAGGCGACGAUCCCUAGCUGGUCUGAGAGGAUGACCAGCCACACUGGAACUGAGACACGGUCCAGACUCCUACGGGAGGCAGCAGUGGGGAAUAUUGCACAAUGGGCGCAAGCCUGAUGCAGCCAUGCCGCGUGUGUGAAGAAGGCCUUCGGGUUGUAAAGCACUUUCAGCGGGGAAGAAGGCGAUAAGGUUAAUAACCUUGUCGAUUGACGUUACCCGCAGAAGAAGCACCGGCUAACUCCGUGCCAGCAGCCGCGGUAAUACGGAGGGUGCAAGCGUUAAUCGGAAUUACUGGGCGUAAAGCGCACGCAGGCGGUCUGUCAAGUCGGAUGUGAAAUCCCCGGGCUCAACCUGGGAACUGCAUUCGAAACUGGCAGGCUAGAGUCUUGUGGAGGGGGGUAGAAUUCCAGGUGUAGCGGUGAAAUGCGUAGAGAUCUGGAGGAAUACCGGUGGCGAAGGCGGCCCCCUGGACAAAGACUGACGCUCAGGUGCGAAAGCGUGGGGAGCAAACAGGAUUAGAUACCCUGGUAGUCCACGCCGUAAACGAUGUCGAUUUGGAGGUUGUGCCCUUGAGGCGUGGCUUCCGGAGCUAACGCGUUAAAUCGACCGCCUGGGGAGUACGGCCGCAAGGUUAAAACUCAAAUGAAUUGACGGGGGCCCGCACAAGCGGUGGAGCAUGUGGUUUAAUUCGAUGCAACGCGAAGAACCUUACCUGGUCUUGACAUCCACAGAACUUUCCAGAGAUGGAUUGGUGCCUUCGGGAACUGUGAGACAGGUGCUGCAUGGCUGUCGUCAGCUCGUGUUGUGAAAUGUUGGGUUAAGUCCCGCAACGAGCGCAACCCUUAUCCUUUGUUGCCAGCGGUCCGGCCGGGAACUCAAAGGAGACUGCCAGUGAUAAACUGGAGGAAGGUGGGGAUGACGUCAAGUCAUCAUGGCCCUUACGACCAGGGCUACACACGUGCUACAAUGGCAUAUACAAAGAGAAGCGACCUCGCGAGAGCAAGCGGACCUCAUAAAGUAUGUCGUAGUCCGGAUUGGAGUCUGCAACUCGACUCCAUGAAGUCGGAAUCGCUAGUAAUCGUAGAUCAGAAUGCUACGGUGAAUACGUUCCCGGGCCUUGUACACACCGCCCGUCACACCAUGGGAGUGGGUUGCAAAAGAAGUAGGUAGCUUAACCUUCGGGAGGGCGCUUACCACUUUGUGAUUCAUGACUGGGGUG
rnacentral:rRNA from 1 species